UGCGGUCCAACCCACUGCACCACCGCACCCCCUGGACUAGUAUCAAACAAUAAAUCUGAAUUGUAUCAUCAUAUAAGUUUUGCUGCCCUUUUCUUUUUCAUUCAAAUGCCGAAAUGUCACGUCCGAGUUCGGAUUCAAUAAAUCCGUGCCAGUUCUCAUCACAGUUGCUGUAAUUAUUCCUCUGCGAUGUAAAUGGACGAAUGGCUGAAUGCGGAAUAUGCGUCUCGCAGGUGCCGGUGGCCGAAGAGUGACACGUUCUGCAUGUGUCGCGCGAUCCUCCGUUGAGGCGCCAGACGUAACCGAGGAGACGAGAACAACAGCAUCCGGGGUGAGCCUGUGUUCAUCGCCCCGAAGCCCUGGAGACGCUGACACACCCGACACAGCACAGCUGCAGUUCCUUACCAAAUGAAAACCUCUGACACUGUUAAGAAGCACACGGAAGAUGAGGGACCAGCACAGAGAAUACCAUCAACUUGCGCUUCAAAUCAGGAUCAGG